UCAGCAGCUGGAGGACCUCACCGCACCGGACCGGACCGGACCACCACCUGCGCUCCGGGCAGGGCUGGGCUCGGCUGGGCCGUGUGGCAGCCAGUCAGCUGAGCGAGGCCGCUCUUGUCUUGAUGCAUCUCUUGUCCGGGGAAUAACAUGCAGGAUGACUAAAGCGAGUGGCAAGUUGGCAAGAAAAGAGUCAGCUGGGAAAGGAUAGAAAACAUCAGAUGUUGACCCUCAGUGAAACGUCUGACUUGUUUGCAAACCACAGAGGACUGGGACGAAGACGUCUAAUGGGUCCCAUCCCCCAUCGCCUCAUCGCUCCGUCCUGCUGAGUGUCUGGCUCACAUGAUGCAGUCGGAAUUCCAGAUGUUGCUCGUGGAAUUCUGCUCCAUCUCUGGCCUCCAAAUGCGGCUCCCCUCUCUCUCCUCCUUCCUCUCCCCCCUAAAAUGCCUCGUGACUCUCUUCUCCAAAACACUGCAGAGAAGUGAACCAAAAAAAAAAUAGAAAAUGGGCGCCUUAAAUCUUUCUUGCGCAAUUGGAAAAUUACCUCAUCAUCGUAGCAGCGUGAUACCCCCCUUUCUGUAAUAAUUGCACAUCAUAGAGGCGUUUUAAUGCCCUCCCCAGCCCACCGACCCAACUCUUUUGUCUGCAGCUGUAAUGUUUGUAUGGAAGUUGUUUGGAGAGUGGGUCAUUAAGAAGAGGGGUGCCGCCUAAGUUUACUGUUGGACCCUUUAUUGGAUCAUGAUGUAAGGUUGUGUAAAAACACUGUGCAUGAUCCACAAAAUACUUUGGCUUGCAAAAUUACUCAAACCACUUUAUUCUUUUUAACAUUAUACCCACAACGUCAAGUAUUAUGGAUAUAGAAAGAGAGAAAGUAGUGUGUUACUCCUCCUUUAUCCUCUUUUGACAAAAUGAUGCCAGGUUCUGGGCAGCUGUUCCUUAGUACAGCUCUGACAUCAGGUCAACACCUGCUGGUUCUGGUUGGUUCUUCCCAGAUCGGAAAUUUUUGACAAAAUGAUGCCUUUGUCAAAAAUCCCCUGGGUCUGGAGAACCGACCCAGGGGAGCGGGGACCAUGCUCACCCUGCUUCCCGUACCCAGAACCUGGGUAAACUCAGUCAAAAAUCUCCUGAGUCUGGAGAACCUAGAGGGCAACUAGUGACCCUCUUUCAACAACUUAUCUCCUCUUACCCUCGUUAGGGCCCAGACCCGCCCUAACCUGGCCAUCCGGAAAGAUUAUUUAGCCAGUUUAGAAAAAUUGUAGAUCCUUGACCCAACGUCACAGGCAGGAUCACCUGAAAACCCGAUCUUUCAUGACCUUUAUGUCCCUGUUUCAGAAUUUUUUUAACCUACAGUGACCCCGUGACAGACCGCCACAGUUGCUUUCGCACAAAGUUGCCUAUUAGUGGAAUUCACUAAUGCGUUACAGUACCUAAAAUCGCCACCAGAUGGUGUCGGGAUAUUUGGGUAUACAUUGAAUGGCACAUUUGGGAAGUGGUCUUUGGGGAUGAAACAGGACAUUUUGGGUGAAAGGAGACUUUUGCCAUGCAUUGAGUGGAAAUAGGGGAUGAAACGGGAUAUUUGGAAAAUGACUAAGUGUCAGUCAGUCAUCCUGAGUUUUGCAGACAAAUGGGAAGAACCACCCAGAAGUACUGGGUGUAGAGACUGGGCUUAUAACCUUUACCCAUCCUCACCACAACACAAUUUUUGGGAUUAAAAAGGGGCUGAAAACGGGUUGAUUAAUAAAGUGUUUUAUUAACGCUUUAUUAAUCAAUGGUUUAAUGGUUUUAUAAAUGGUUUUAUUAAUAAAACCAUUUUUUAAACAGGUUUUAUGUCAGUACCACACAGCUAUCGUAACUUAAAGUUACUCCUUACCUUCUUUCAACACCUUCUCCCUUCUUCCCUUCAUAAGAAUAUUUGAAACAAAGUUUCAUGUAUAUGAAACUUUGUUAUAGACUAAAUAGAGGAGAAUGUUGCUUACUCUGUUGAGCAAAGAAAGAUAUUAAGGUGCAAAAGAACGCUGCACAAUGUGCACACAGCUCCUUCUUGCUCCGCUCUUAUCAGUCACACAUCCUGGAAGAUUUACACUUGACUCACUCUGCUGUUACAACAAGCGACAAGAUGGAGGUGGAAGAUGUUGAACAAAAGCUAAAAUCGGGAGAAUUUACGCUGCUAACUAGAAUUAGCAUCAUGUUACUGUCGUAUUGUCUCUAAAUGUUCCUUAUGUGUGCAGAGGGGUUUUUUUUUGCAGCCUGUCACUGCAUCCACUGGACAUAGUGUGGGAUAUGGUUAUUUUUAUUUGUACAAUAACUAAAUAAAGCAUUCUGAUUCUGAUGAAGAUCAAGAAACAAACCAGACAUUCAGGUCAGGGAGAAAUUAUAUGUUUACUAUUAUAUGAAGUAACAAUAAAAUAUGUGAAAGCUUGUGGUUGUAAGAGUAAAAAGGGGAAUAAACACUGAUGUAAGGCACUGCAACACAUUCUUAUCUUGGCAAAACACAAACAUGCAUCUGUAUUGCUGUCUUUUUUACUUUCUACAUUUAAUCACUGAUUUGUUAAAAAUAGACAAAUUUUUUGACUGAUUUUUAAACUCUGGAUUCAAACGUUGAGUCACACAGAAAACAAAGUCCUCCAUCUUUUCAGCGUCCUCGUAAUCCUUGCAGUCCCGUUGCACGGCCCCCAUAAGCAUAGAAAGGCAAGGACACACACACACACACAGACUUUCUCUCUCUUUUUGUAUUUUUAAUUGUAGAGUUUAGAUAUGUUUUUCUGCUGUGCAGCAACAAGGUUUAUACAAUCGUCCUCAUCCCUGUUUCUACUUAAGAUUUGGAUCCGCUCGCCAUUUUCCAACCCAGUUAAAGUUCCUGCCAGUUCCUGAGCCCCAGUAUUGCAGUGGUGCGGUCGGGGAACAAGAAACCUGGAGGUCCAGGGAGAGUGGGGAAGACCAGAUGGAAAAGAGACACGAGCGGCACAAGUGAUUCAGCUGGAGCGCCCAGGUGAGAGCUGGAUUAUGAGUAAGUGUUUAAAAAAGGUAGAAUUUACUGAGUGAAAAUUAAAGCACAGAAAAACUUUUAAAAUUACUUUAUUCAUGUAAGAGAAAAAGGGAAAAGAGGAAGUACACACAGUCUUGUUAAAACCAAAUAGUUGUCAU